GGCAUUGAUAAACUGGAAGUUUCUACAAGCAUUAAUAAAGAGCCAAAUCAAGAAGGGAACGGAAGAAAUAUAUUGGAGCGAUUUGCUUCUGAUGCCCAUAAAUUAAGGUCUCUUCAAACAACUAUGGCAUAUUUGAAGAAGGAAUUGGAGAUGAAGAAGAAGAGCAAGAAAGCCAAUGACGUUGAAUUUGAAAGAGCGAAAAGACAGUUACAAGAAUUUGGGGAAG
rnacentral:misc_RNA from 1 species